rnacentral:rRNA from 1 species
UACGUAGGGUGCGAGCGUUAAUCGGAAUUACUGGGCGUAAAGCGUGCGUAGGCGGUUUUUUAAGUCUGUCGUGAAAUCCCCGGGCUCAACCUGGGAAUGGCGAUGGAUACUGGCGAGCUAGAGUGUGUCAGAGGAUGGUGGAAUUCCCGGUGUAGCGGUGAAAUGCGUAGAGAUCGGGAGGAACAUCAGUGGCGAAGGCGGCCAUCUGGGACAACACUGACGCUGAAGCACGAAAGCGUGGGGAGCAAACAGG